rnacentral:rRNA from 1 species
UACAGAGGGGGCAAGCGUUGUUCGGAAUUACUGGGCGUAAAGGGCGCGUAGGCGGCCUUCUAAGUCGAACGUGAAAUCCCCGGGCUCAACCCGGGAACUGCGUCCGAUACUGGAAGGCUUGAAUCCGGGAGAGGGAUGCGGAAUUCCCAGUGUAGAGGUGAAAUUCGUAGAUAUUGGGAAGAACACCAGUGGCGAAGGCGGCUCACUGGCCCGUAACUGACGCUGAGGUGCGAAAGCGUGGGGAGCAAACCGG